GACGAGAAGGAUAAGCGUCAUUCAUAUUAAAUGGGUGUAAAAGUGUAUGUAGACGGCAUCAUAUAUUUAAAUGAAAAAAGAUUAAUAAUCUAAUACAUUUUUUAUUAAAUGAUUGCUUGAGUGAAAUUGAAGAAAAGUGGAAUUUCAAAAUGGAAGGAUGAAAUCUAUUGAUAUUUGAAAGAAACUCUAAAGGCGAAAGGCUUCUUUCUAAAGUAAUCACUUGACGUUGAGAUACGAAAGUUGGGUAGCAAGAG
rnacentral:rRNA from 1 species